rnacentral:rRNA from 1 species
AACGAACGCUGGCGGCAUGCCUAACACAUGCAAGUCGAACGAGACCUUCGGGUCUAGUUGCGCACGGGUGCGUAACGCGUGGGAACCUGCCCUUAGGUUCGGAAUAACUCCCCGAAAGGGGUGCUAAUACCGGAUAAUGUCUUCGGACCAAAGAUUUAUCGCCUUUGGAUGGGCCCGCGUUGGAUUAGCUAGUUGGUAGGGUAAAAGCCUACCAAGGCGACGAUCCAUAGCUGGUAUGAGAGGAUGAUCAGCCACACUGGGACUGAGAAACGGCCCAGACUCCUAAGGGAGGGAGGCGUGGGGAAUAUUGGACAAUGGGCGAAAGGCUGAUCCAGCAAGGCCGCGUGAGUGAUGAAGGCCUUAGGGUUGUAAAGCUCUUUUACCCGGGAUGAUAAUGACAGUACCGGGAGAAUAAGCUCCGGCUAACUCCGUG